UUCUUUUUGGUUUUUUAAAAAGUAAGACCUGCUCAAUGAUCUUUUAAAUAGCCGCGUUAUAACCGUGCUAAGGUAGCAUAAUAAUUUGUCUUUUAAUUAAGGUCUAGUAUGAAUGGUUAAACGAGGAAUUAACUUUUUUAAUUAAAUUAAUUUUAACUUUAUUUUUUAGUUAAAAAGCUAAAAUAAAAUUAAAGGACGAUAAGACCCUAUAGAAUUUUAUUUUAAAGAGUUUAUUUUAUUAUUAUAAUAAAUUUAUAAUAAAUUCUAUAAAUUUGGUUGGGGUGAUUUUUAUAUUUUAUUAACUAUAAUAUUUGUUUUUCAUUAAUUAAUGAAAUUUUGAUCCUUUCAUUAAGAUUAAUAGAAAAAAUUACCUUAGGGAUAACAGCGUAAUUUUCUUGGAGAGUUCUUAUUAAUAAGAAAGAUUGCGA
rnacentral:rRNA from 1 species